rnacentral:rRNA from 1 species
CAGACUACACAUGCAGUCGAGCGGUAGCACAGAGAGCUUGCUCUCGGGUGACGAGCGGCGGACGGGUGAGUAAUGUCUGGGAAACUGCCUGAUGGAGGGGGAUAACUACUGGAAACGGUAGCUAAUACCGCAUAAUGUCGCAAGACCAAAGUGGGGGACCUUCGGGCCUCAUGCCAUCAGAUGUGCCCAGAUGGGAUUAGCUAGUAGGUGGGGUAACGGCUCACCUAGGCGACGAUCCCUAGCUGGUCUGAGAGGAUGACCAGCCACACUGGAACUGAGACACGGUCCAGACUCCUACGGGAGGCAGCAGUGGGGAAUAUUGCACAAUGGGCGCAAGCCUGAUGCAGCCAUGCCGCGUGUGUGAAGAAGGCCUUCGGGUUGUAAAGCACUUUCAGCGGGGAGGAAGGCGUUAAGGUUAAUAACCUUGUCGAUUGACGUUACCCGCAGAAGAAGCACCGGCUAACUCCGUGCCAGCAGCCGCGGUAAUACGGAGGGUGCAAGCGUUAAUCGGAAUUACUGGGCGUAAAGCGCACGCAGGCGGUCUGUCAAGUCGGAUGUGAAAUCCCCGGGCUCAACCUGGGAACUGCAUUCGAAACUGGCAGGCUAGAGUCUUGUAGAGGGGGGUAGAAUUCCAGGUGUAGCGGUGAAAUGCGUAGAGAUCUGGAGGAAUACCGGUGGCGAAGGCGGCCCCCUGGACAAAGACUGACGCUCAGGUGCGAAAGCGUGGGGAGCAAACAGGAUUAGAUACCCUGGUAGUCCACGCCGUAAACGAUGUCGAUUUGGAGGUUGUGCCCUUGAGGCGUGGCUUCCGGAGCUAACGCGUUAAAUCGACCGCCUGGGGAGUACGGCCGCAAGGUUAAAACUCAAAUGAAUUGACGGGGGCCCGCACAAGCGGUGGAGCAUGUGGUUUAAUUCGAUGCAACGCGAAGAACCUUACCUGGUCUUGACAUCCACAGAACUUUCCAGAGAUGGAUUGGUGCCUUCGGGAACUGUGAGACAGGUGCUGCAUGGCUGUCGUCAGCUCGUGUUGUGAAAUGUUGGGUUAAGUCCCGCAACGAGCGCAACCCUUAUCCUUUGUUGCCAGCGGUUAGGCCGGGAACUCAAAGGAGACUGCCAGUGAUAAACUGGAGGAAGGUGGGGAUGACGUCAAGUCAUCAUGGCCCUUACGACCAGGGCUACACACGUGCUACAAUGGCAUAUACAAAGAGAAGCGACCUCGCGAGAGCAAGCGGACCUCAUAAAGUAUGUCGUAGUCCGGAUUGGAGUCUGCAACUCGACUCCAUGAAGUCGGAAUCGCUAGUAAUCGUAGAUCAGAAUGCUACGGUGAAUACGUUCCCGGGCCUUGUACACACCGCCCGUCACACCAUGGGAGUGGGUUGCAAAAGAAGUAGGUAGCUUAACCUUCGGGAGGGCGCUACCACUUGGAUCAG